ensembl:lncRNA
GUUUUAUUUUCUUUAAAUCAAGCAGGUUAUAUUUCAUUAGUUUUUACACAAUCUGAUAUUUGGAGCCAUUUGCAAAUAUGCUCAUAAAUUACAUGAUUUGUAAUCCUUAACGAAAAAAAUCAUAAAAGAAUGAGGUGGUUAAUGAUCAAUAUUGGGAUCAACAGUGAUCACCCUACUAAUGUAGGCAUUACAUAUGCAGGCAGAAAAGGAAAAGUUCCCUUUAAGGUCUCAUGUGAAACACCACAGGUCUGAAAUACUCAGGAACACAUGAAAAUGGCACAAAAAUGAAUUUCACUCCAACCUUUUGCUAAAGAGACGUUGACAGGCCCACAGAGCGCCUGGAGCUCACGGGACAACAAUCACAUUCUGCUUCAUGAAGAGGUCAGAUUAUCGUCAGACCAUAGACAUUACAUGUAAGGACACUGAACAUUUGGCCAGAUUACACAUAGAAAUGCAAUCCAAAACAAAAUGGGUAAAGAUAAAGCAUGUUUAUUGAUGCGGAAAACAAAGGUUCAAAUAUCCUCCAAAGCACUUCAAGCCCUCGAAGAAUGAAACUCAAAACGUAGAUGAGGUUAAAGAAGAAACUUCUAAAUGAAAGUGGAGCGACCCAGGGACAAGUCUGGUUUGGGUUCAAGAUUAUGGAUGGUUAACUUUGCGUAACGUGUUUGGACAAGCAAGUUUAGGUUUUAGGCAAGCAAGUUUAGGUAAGAGAGUCAAGUUACUUUAGGCCUCACUUUAUUUGCGGUUAAAUUGCGGCAUUAGGUUUAGAAAGAAGGUUAAGAUCCAGGCUCAGGUUUGCUUCCAGGCUCGUCCCUCUAGCCGCUCCCUAUAAAGAGGAUUCCCAGCUACCGUGUUAAAAUACAACAGCUGGGAUUACAGAUAUGGAGUACAGAAAUAAAUGACAAAGAUUGAUUCAAACAUUCUUCCCCCAAAAUGUGGUGCAACAUAAUGGAGAAAAUAAUUACUUUCUCUCCAUUGAAACCCAGUCAUAUCUUACGAUCUCACGAGGUCCCGCCGCAAGGGGCGGACUUACAAGCUCUAUAGAGUGUGCACUGUGUGUUAAUGUUGGGUGUGGAUUAAUGUGCUGGUGUAGCCAGGGAUCCUCAGGGUUUAUGGGGAGUAGGACACACUGGUGUAGUUCAGUGCUGUGAAGUAAAUUGAUGCAAAAAGUAGAAUCAGUUUCAAGGGCAAUCAAAUGUCUAUAAAUGCAGGAACAGCCCCAUCUGGUCUCACUCAGCAUUUGAACAGUCCUAGAGAACCAGGUUUAAAAAAAAAUGUCAAUACGAGCCUCCAGGUGCAUUGGAGUUACUGCAUUUAAUUAACUUUAAU